GGAGGUGCAUGGCGUCGUCAGUUCGUACUGUGAAGCAUCCUGUUAAGUCAGGCAACGAGCGAGACCCACGCCAACAGUUGCCAGCUCGUCCUCCGGGAUGGUGGGGACACUGUUGGGACCGCCUCUGCUAAAGAGGAGGAAGGGAAUGGGCAACGGUAGGUCAGCAUGCCCCGAAUUAUCUGGGCUACACGCGGGCUACAAUGGGUGGGACAAUGGGUAUCGACACCGAAAGGUGAAGGCAAUCUCCUAAACCCAUCCGUAGUUCGGAUUGUGGGCUGCAACUCGCCCACAUGAAGCUGGAAUCUGUAGUAAUCGUGUCUCAAAAUGGCACGGUGAAUAUGUCCCUGCUCCUU
rnacentral:rRNA from 1 species